UGCUGCCCUCAAGCACGGCUUGUGUGUUGAGUCGCCGUCCCCCWCCGGGGGGACGGGCCCUAAAGGCAGCGGCGGCDCCGGGUCCGGUCCUCGAGYGWAAGGGGCUUCGUCACCUGCUCUGUAGGGC
rnacentral:rRNA from 1 species